AGAAUUGAAUAUCCAAACCCCUAUCUAGAUAGUGUGCUUCUUAGAAUACAAAUAGAAUUAAAAAUGUGUCAGUAAUCAAAAAGGGACAGCAUCGGCAAACAGUUGACAUCGAAAUUGUCUGCUCAUCAAAGAGGAAUGACAGAUCCUCUUUCAUCAACAUGUUUUCCUUAGGAAUGGUGCCAGGAUGCAGGGCAUAAGUGAGAGGACAGCCCCCUUGGUUAUGAGGUAACUAAAAAUAGCCACCUUUGAAAGCCAUCAGAGGUCACUUGUUUUGAAGAAGAUCAUCAGAAGAACUUUGAACUAUAAUAUAUUGACUAUUAAAUCAUGUUAUUUUCUUCAUUUGUCAAAAUUACUGGAAUGUAGCAAAUACUUGAGACUUUGAAAUGAGUAGAUUUUGAGUAGAUUUAUUAAUGAAAUCAAAGGACACACAAAAACAGUGUAAUUCAUCCAUCCGGAGACUCUACAUAUGAGUUUGAAAACUUUUAGUAUGUAUGCCAAUUAGUCCGUCCAGCCAAAUAGGCACAACAAUUUUCUGAUAAUAAGAAAAAUAAGACCAAGAAGCUUGCUGGAAUACUAAGAAAAACAACAGAGGGAGUUAAAUUUUUCAUUAAAAUUGACCACUUCCAGAGGCCUUGCAGGAAAUAUUAAAAUAAGUUCUUUAAUGAGAAGGAAAAUGAUAUAGAUCAGAAACUUGGAUCUGCAUGAAGAUAUACCUUAAAAAAGGAAGAGCAUCAGAAAAAUGAAUAAGUGAAGGUCAAGUGCUGUGCUGUACUGAUUGAUAGAUUGUCUCCAGCAGGAAGUUUGACAAUGGGAAACCUAGAAGCAGAUGUGCCUGGUACAUAGCAGGGGUGGUGGAGGUUUCAGGAUUAUGUUGACUAAAAUAUGGAGGCUCUGUAUCUGUAUAUAGCCUGAGGACCUCAACAGAUGCACCUGCCCAAUCUUAAACUUUCCAGCAAUCUGAAUUGUGAGCCAAAUAUUUUUUUUAAUAAAUUAUCCACCUUCAAGUAUUAUAGCAACAAAAAAAAGGAAAUGCAACGAGUCAAUGUACUUACUGAGAUUGCAGAAGAGACUGAACAUUGUUCUAGGCUCUGAAGAGAAAGAUGAAAAAGAAGAAAGUACUCCUGAGUAUGUGACUACAGCUAGCACUGAGGCAAGUACAAACUCUAGGCAUGAGGCUUUUGGUCUCACUCAUAGCGAAUUUGAGCACUGGCUUUUUUGUUGGGCUUCCAUUCUUCUCUCAGCACAAGAAUACCAACGUUCAUGACCCAGGAAGGACCAACUUGUACUUGACAGAGCUAAGAAACAGCAUUUCGCCAUGUCACGCAGGCUGGUCUUCAACUCCUGGACUCAAGCUGUCCACGGGCCUCGGCCUCCCAAAGUGCUAGGAUUACAGGCAUGAGCCACUAUGUCCGGCUUGGAGUUUUUAGUCUCAUCAAACAAACUCACCCAAAUGUCCCUUGGUGACAAAAAGUUUUCUGAACGAUUAAGUAAUCUUUGUUUCUCAAGCCUGACAAAAUAAAAAGUUUUCUGUCUCUC